GCCAGCAUGGCAUAGUGGUUUGUGUGUUGGACUGCAACUCUAGAGACCAGGAUUCAAUUCCCAGCUCGGCCA